UAGAGUUUGAUCCUGGCUCAGGACGAACGCUGGCGGCGUGCCUAAUACAUUCAAGUCGAGCGGAUUUAUCCUUCGGGAUAAGUUAGCGGCGGACGGGUGAGUAACACGUAGGCAACCUGCCUAUAAGACUGGGAUAACUAUCGGAAACGAUAGCUAAGACCGGAUAACUGAUUUUCUCGCAUGAGAAAAUUAUGAAACACGGAGCAAUCUGUGGCUUAUAGAUGGGCCUGCGGCGCAUUAGCUAGUUGGUAGGGUAACGGCCUACCAAGGCGACGAUGCGUAGCCGACCUGAGAGGGUGAACGGCCACACUGGGACUGAGACACGGCCCAGACUCCUACGGGAGGCAGCAGUAGGGAAUCUUCCGCAAUGGACGCAAGUCUGACGGAGCAACGCCGCGUGAGUGAUGAAGGUUUUCGGAUCGUAAAGCUCUGUUGCCCUAGACGAACAGCAAGAGGAGUAACUGCCUUUUGUGUGACGGUAUAGGAGAAGAAAGCCCCGGCUAACUACGUGCCAGCAGCCGCGGUAAUACGUAGGGGGCAAGCGUUGUCCGGAAUUAUUGGGCGUAAAGCGCGCGCAGGCGGUCAAUUAAGUUGGGUGUUUAAGCCCGGGGCUCAACCCCGGUUCGCAUCCAAAACUGGUCGACUUGAGUGUAGGAGAGGAAAGUGGAAUUCCACGUGUAGCGGUGAAAUGCGUAGAGAUGUGGAGGAACACCAGUGGCGAAGGCGACUUUCUGGCCUAUAACUGACGCUGAGGCGCGAAAGCGUGGGGAGCAAACAGGAUUAGAUACCCUGGUAGUCCACGCCGUAA
rnacentral:rRNA from 1 species